rnacentral:rRNA from 1 species
UAGGGCAUCUUCGGCAAUGGACGAAAGUCUGACCGAGCAACGCCGCGUGAGUGAAGAAGGUUUUCGGAUCGUAAAACUCUGUUGUUAGAGAAGAACAAGGACGUUAGUAACUGAACGUCCCCUGACGGUAUCUAACCAGAAAGCCACGGCUAACUACGUGCCAGCAGCCGCGGUAAUACGUAGGUGGCAAGCGUUGUCCGGAUUUAUUGGGCGUAAAGCGAGCGCAGGCGGUUUCUUAAGUCUGAUGUGAAAGCCCCCGGCUCAACCGGGGAGGGUCAUUGGAAACUGGGAGACUUGAGUGCAGAAGAGGAGAGUGGAAUUCCAUGUGUAGCGGUGAAAUGCGUAGAUAUAUGGAGGAACACCAGUGGCGAAGGCGGCUCUCUGGUCUGUAACUGACGCUGAGGCUCGAAAGCGUGGGGAGCAAACAGG